CUGGAGCUCCUUCCGGUGAGCUCAGACCUGGGCUUGGAGGCGUGACAUCCGUUGAGAUCUCCAAUCCUAUUGGAGAGAAUCGCUUGUACUCAGGGCUUGAGGUACCAUUUUUUCACACUGUCCGGUCCAAGAACCGGAAGUCCGGUGUUUGUAAUUUGCCAACAAGAGAUGAACAGAAACAAGCCGGGCCUGAUGCUUCAGCCGGGCCUGCUCAUUCCUCCCCUCCCCCAACAAAACUAGCUCAUCUUGCCUAAGGGAGCUGGCUCCGCGGUUCACUAGGAUUUCAAAGAAAUCUGUGACAUAUUAAAAAGACUAAGAAUACCUAAAAUGAGUGAAUUCUCUGAGGAAGAAGAGAUUGGAUUGAAUGCGAUGUCCCUUCCAACUUGGAGAUUCAGUGACUCUGAAUGAAAAAGAAAAAUGGAUACAUCUCUUCUCCCUUGAUUCCAACUUUGCCCUCUCUUAUUAUCCAAUAGAUAUUUCUGAGACAUCAAUUGAACAUCUUGAGAUGUGAAAUCUCCCUCCUGAGUGUUCCAACAAGCAAUAGGCUCUCAGAGUCUGUGCAAAGUAAUAAAAAUCUAAGCUAAAGUUAAAUGGUGAGAUGACCCCACCAAAUAUACACAGAGAGACAUCAGAACAGACUAAGAAAUGGACACAGAUACACGAGGGAAUGCCUGCGGACGAAGUCUGGAGCCCUGGCUCACCAGUGCCACAGUGACACACUCAUUACCAAGGAAACAUGCCAGCCUGACUUUUUCUGGAGCCCAGAACAUGCUUUUGCAAUUAAUGACCUUUUCCCACACCUGGGCCAGGGUAAGCGAGCAGAGGAGAAGCCCUGAGCUUUGUGGGAUUGCAAUAAGCAUCCCUUUUUGGAUAAAGGGGUGGGGGAGGGUUUGCACAUCGGGGAGGAGAAAGAAAACCUGGGAACAACUGGCAAAAGGUGAGUUCAUAUUUGAUUUCUGCAGAGGACUAAUUGCCGGCCUGAGCCUUACCUCCAUACCAGCUUCUGCCCCCAUAAAUCCCCAGAACAGCCGUCAUCCACCGGGGUCCCAGGCUUUUCUUUCUGAAUCAAGUUCUUUAUGUACAUCUCGACUUUUCACACAGAAGAUUCAUGGCCUCAGCUCCCUCCAUAUUUUCGUUAUGAAUAGGGGCCCUUAAACAUUUCCUUCUCAUUUAAUUUAUCAUUUUUGCAGUCUUUCAACACUGGAUCCGGGCUAGAAAUAAUGGAACACAGAGUCUGUCCAUGAGAACAUGGUCUUUUACAAUAAUAAAAUUUGCAGAGAAAGAAAGAAAAAAGGAAAAAAGAAAAAAAAAAAACAGUUACAUCUAACUUCUCAAUGGGAUAGUCCCACCAAACCACCCAGAUUUCAAUGAAUUAAAACGAGUCAGGAUAUCCAA